UAGGUGAUGAGAGGUACGAGGGGUACAAAGGAUGCCACCUCAGAUCAGAGCACCUGGGUUGAAAUCUGAUUCCUGACGUGCACUGGCUAGGUGACUUCAGGCUGUAUCUAAACUUCUGAGUGUGUUUUCUCAUUUGUAAACGGGGACAGUUUUAUCCACGACCUUUUCUGGUCAUGAAGUGGCAUAUGAUAACCUGCAGUGACAUCCUACCAGGCACAGAGGCCCCCAAGAAAAUGCCCAACACAUAGAGGAGACCUUCCUGGACACCUGGCAGGGGAUCCAGUCCUGCUCAGUGCUGGGCACAGGGGCUGCCCUGGAGAAGUGGCCUCUGCUGAGCAGGAACUCCUGGAGAGGGCACUGGAGUUUCAACCUUGGUAGCAAGUUCAGACUUCGCUAGAUACAUCGCUGAUACUUCGCUAAAUCUUCCUGCUCGAUUUGGUUCUCUGAGGUGAAGAGACCCAGCAGGCAGUGCAGUGUGACCUGGACUCUGAGCUUGAGAAGAUGGGCCUUGGUCUGGCAGAGGAGGCAAGGCUCACCUGCACUCCUGGCCUCAUUUGAUGACUUUGUACCCUCACAAGCCGUUCUGGAUGGCAGAGGGGCUUGUAAUGAUGGCUGCUUUCCUAGAAAUUGAAUUAAAGCGGCCAAGAAGUGACUUUGGCUGGG